UGUUAGAAUUUAGUUGCCUUCAGUUGAUGAGAUAGAACGGCCAUGACCGUCACCCUGCCGACUAGCAAAGAAAACUUGGCCACCGUAUGCCAAGCAUGAAAUUACUGUCCUCUGCGUGUUACGUGAAAGCUCUUGGCGGGGGCUAGGAUUUUCCUCUUGAAGGGAGGUCUGUCCUGGUUCAAAAACAGAAGGAAAACAAAAGAAACAUGAAAAGAAAAAACAAAUCACUGUCGACUUAAAAGAGAGAGGACGACGGCGGAAACUAAAGAGAGGGAGACACAAUGAAUAGAGGAAUUUCCAAGACAUCGAUAUGGGGAAAAAGAAAAGUAUUACCAAGUGACAGAAU